rnacentral:rRNA from 1 species
GAUGAACGCUGGCGGCGUGCCUAAUACAUGCAAGUCGAGCGAACAGACGAGGAGCUUGCUCCUCUGACGUUAGCGGCGGACGGGUGAGUAACACGUGGAUAACCUACCUCUAAGACUGGGAUAACUUCGGGAAACCGGAGCUAAUACCGGAUAAUAUCUUGAACCGCAUGGUUCAAUAGUGAAAGACGGUUUUGCUGUCACUUAUAGAUGGAUCCGCGCCGCAUUAGCUAGUUGGUAAGGUAACGGCUUACCAAGGCAACUAUGCGUAGCCGACCUGAGAGGGUGAUCGGCCACACUGGAACUGAGACACGGUCCAGACUCCUACGGGAGGCAGCAGUAGGGAAUCUUCCGCAAUGGGCGAAAGCCUGACGGAGCAACGCCGCGUGAGUGAUGAAGGUCUUCGGAUCGUAAAACUCUGUUAUUAGGGAAGAACAAAUGUGUAAGUAACUAUGCACGUCUUGACGGUACCUAAUCAGAAAGCCACGGCUAACUACGUG